UAAUAUAUUUGUCUGUAUAAUAUUUUGUGAAUUGGUUUAGGACACAGUGGUGUCUUUUUUUUAAGCAAGUAUCCAUUGAGAGGGGUCAGAGGAUUAGCUCAAGCUCCAACAUAUCUAGCUGCUACCUUGCUUAACAUAGCUGCUACCUCAAUCGCUUUAUUUUUUUGUGUUUUCCCCCCUGUGGCAUUUAUUCUGUGCACAUGAACACGUUUUCAGAAUUGCUAUGUGUAACUCAGACGGUUACUCUUGUGUGUUUUGCUGCUAGUUGUGCGAACGAGCCAGACAAACCAGCUGGGAGGAGGACGGAAGCACCCCUUCUCCAUCCGCGUUCAGUUGCUAAAUACGGAUCCACCCCGUAGUAAGUAACCUACCAUGUUUACGCACACAUUACUUUGACCAGCAAAGCCCAUGUCUUUCUAGUGGUUUACAAAAAUAUAUCGUUUGCAUGUUUUGCUUUGGUACAUGGUGUUGUAUGACUCUGGUAAUAGUAGCAAGCACAAGCACAACCUGUUCGCCGCUCCAGCAUUGCAAAAUAGAUUGCCUUGGGUUUUCAAAUGUUUACAUGAUUGUGGGUGUAAUGUUGUUAACUCGCUGAUGUCGUUUUUGAGAAGACGGUAGUUUUGCAUUUGAUAAAUACCACCUAAUGACCAUGACGGCUACACGGCAGAUCUUUAUUGUGAUGGCUACACUGAAUGAUCACAUGGAGAUGCCGGUACAUUAUUUGUUUUACCCUGGUUAUAUUGAAAUGUUCUGCUUUGUCCAUUCCAAUGUGUGGUGUCUUCCAUAGCUGUUCCUUGCUCCCGUUUCACAACAUAUCAAGGCUGCCAAGUAAAUGAAGAAUGAAUCACCGCACACUGGUCAACAGCCGACAGAGUCCUUCCACAACCACAUACUUAUGCCAGUAAAAGCCACAGCUUUUCUCCUCCAAUCCAAGAAGCCUGGACUGCAGUCACCAUCUCAACACACCAACCAAGAGAAAGGCGGAUGGCUCAAUUCAAUAUGGAAAAUUGCACAAUAAAAGUUCCAGGACAAGAAGGCUGCAUACUGUGAACGUCAACCUUCAGGGCACCGUCCUGCGCAGAAGACUUUCUACCCUAAGAGGGAUGGCUGACCGCAGACACUCACAACCAGCACAGACGCCUCCAACCUCAAACUAGGCCCUUCACAGUUGCUGCACUUACCCACCUUCCCAGAGUUUUUGUGUGGUAAUGACAACUGUAAAUAUAGUAUAAAGUAAUGUAUCUAGUGUCAUGUGUAAUACAUUGUUUAAAUUGUCCAUUGUCCAUUGCUUCCAUUUCAAUGACAGUAAAUAUUGGUGGACACAAUUUGACUGUGUGGCUUUUUUUAAUUCAUUCUCUGACUGAAAAUGCAUGGUUACAUAAUUUAUAUAUUCCACAAGACCACAAUCAGAAGAACAUUUGACAGGUUGCAUUUAUUUUCUAUGUAUGAAAAAAACAAUGGUAACAAGACAAACGUGGUUCCAAACCAAAAAGGUGAGAUGUACAGAUGAAUGCUCCUACAGAUAAUGAAAAAUAAUAAAAGUCUGCACACUGCCGGUUU